rnacentral:tRNA from 3 species
UGCAAAGAAGAGCAAUUUGGUUGUUCGUCUGUCUCAUCAGCAGAAAGUUAAUGGUUCAAAUCCAUUCUUUGCAC